rnacentral:rRNA from 1 species
AUUGAACGCUGGCGGCAGGCCUAACACAUGCAAGUCGAGCGGAUGAAGGGAGCUUGCUCCUGGAUUCAGCGGCGGACGGGUGAGUAAUGCCUAGGAAUCUGCCUGGUAGUGGGGGAUAACGUCCGGAAACGGGCGCUAAUACCGCAUACGUCCUGAGGGAGAAAGUGGGGGAUCUUCGGACCUCACGCUAUCAGAUGAGCCUAGGUCGGAUUAGCUAGUUGGUGGGGUAAAGGCCUACCAAGGCGACGAUCCGUAACUGGUCUGAGAGGAUGAUCAGUCACACUGGAACGGAGACACGGUCCAGACUCCUACGGGAGGCAGCAGUGGGGAAUAUUGGACAAAGGGCGAAAGCCUGAUCCAGCCAUGCCGCGUGUGUGAAGAAGGUCUUCGGAUUGUAAAGCACUUUAAGUUGGGAGGAAGGGCAGUAAGUUAAUACCUUGCUGUUUUGACGUUACCAACAGAAUAAGCACCGGCUAACUUCGUG